UACGAGGGGUGCAAGCGUUAUUCGGAAUGAUUGGGCGUAAAGGGUGCGUAGGCGGCAGAUUAAGUCUAUCGUUAAAUUUUCCGGCUUAACCGGAAGCAUGCGGUGGAAACUAGUUUGCUAGAGGGUGGAAGAGAGAAGUGGAAUUCUCGGAGUAGCGGUAAAAUGCUUAGAUCUCGAGAGGAACACCAAUGGCGAAGGCAGCUUCUUGGUCCAUUCCUGACGCUGAGGCACGAAAGCGUGGGGAGCAAACAGG
rnacentral:rRNA from 1 species